GACUGACACAUACAUUCUUGAAUUGGUGACAUGGCUUCAUCGUUUGAUAAACUUAGUAAGACAUAGAGAUCAUGGUUUCAAAGCAAUGCCGGUUCGAUCUCCGACUCAAAAGGGACUAGAUUUCCACGCCAAGAUGCAACGAGCUUUAUCCGCAAACUAUGGUACUACAACCUAUAGCAUUCAACUUUCUCAAGAAGACAGAGAUUUAUUAGACAAGGUGUGCUGGAGGAGAUUGGUUCCAGAAAUCAGCAAGAGUCAGGAUUUUUCCAAAGCCAAUAAAAGAAGGAAAGUGUUGGGAUCUAGCAGGAGCACAGGAAGUUCUCCAGUAAGGGAGAUUGGUUCCAGAAAAAGGUUACAACACCCAAAUAAAUUGGACAUUAUUGAUGGCUUGCAUUCCACUUCCACAUCAUCAAUUAAUUAUAGCUAGGCAUUUGAGUUCCCAUGGGUAUUUAUUUUUCAUGUAUAUUCAUUCGUUAAAUUCUUAUUCCAUAGUUAUCAUCGCAAUACAUAAUGGUUGACAUGG
rnacentral:misc_RNA from 1 species